UCCUGGGAUAGCUCAGUCGGUAGAGCAUGAGACUAUUAAUCUCGGGGUCAUGGGUUCGAGCCCCAUGUUGGGUGAA